GCUCCUAGUACUCUAACCACUUAGGAAAUUACAAGGAUUUUAAGAGCUUUGUGCCAGGAACCAGAAGCAGAGACCAACGUAUAGGUAUUUCCUAUUAGCUCACAAUGCCAUAGACGAGGUAUCAUGAACAACAGAAAUUUAUUUCUCACAGUUCAGGGGGCUGGGAAGUCCAAGAUCAAGGUACUAACAAACUCAGUGUCUGGAGGGCUCUCUUCUUGGUCUGCAGAACAGACUCCUUUACGCUACGUCCUCACAUGCAGAGAGAGAGAUCAUCUUCUUACUAGGGCACUAGUCCCAUUCACAGGGGCUCCACCCUCAUGGCCUAAUUACAUCACAAAGGUCCCACCUCCAAAUAUCAUCACACUGGGGAUUAGGGCCUGAAAAUAUGAAUUUCAGGGGGACACAAACAUCCAGUCCAUAGCACUACUGUAUAGGAUUGUUGUGAGAAGAGAUGAGGUAAUGAAUAUAGCACUCAACACAUAAAAAUCAUGCUGUAAUUGGCUCCCUCUGCCUUCCCACUGCCUAAGCUGGCUUGUCAACAACACCUCUAGCUCCAGAAAUGACUUCUGUGGCUUCUGGAGUGAGAUGCUGGUGCCCAGGCUCUGGUCUGGCAGAGCUGGAAGGAACCUUGGAGACACCCAACUCAUCAUGGAUUUCACAGAUGAAGAGACCAAGACCUUGAGAGGGAAGACAGACACCUCACCUGAGGGCCCAUCCCUCUCUUCUCUGAGGUCCCAUCCUUCCUAGAGCCCCUGCUAGUGGCAUGGCUGAAUGGAAACCCAGGCCUCCUAACAGCCAGGCCAGAACACUCUCCACUGUCUAGUUCUGAACACAGCAAAACUCAGACCCUACUCGAAGCAUUUGGAGACUGCAAAGAUGGCCAGGAGAAGAGCAGCUGCCAUUGACACAAGAGGUGACCAUAGAAUGAGAAGGUUGCGAGACCUAAGCAUCAGGACAGGAGAAGUGCUCCCACAGCACAACUCUGAGGGAAGCCCUCGUCACAUUCUCUCCUUUCUGUCACGGAAGAUGAGUAGCUGUUACUGGACUCAAGUGUCAGGGAGGAGAGACAGCGCCCCUCCUGUGGGAGCUCAGGCCAGCUCGGGGAGGCAGCAGCUUCCUGCUGGCACUCGGCUUUGUGAGAAGCAGCAGCAAGGGGACCUUUAA
rnacentral:lncRNA from 1 species